rnacentral:sRNA from 1 species
UCUAAGAUGGCGGCAGCGGCAACCUGCGGUAGUGUUGCCGCGAGUACUGGGUCUGCAGUGGCGACAGCCAGCAAGAACAACGUCACCAGUUUCCAGAGGAGGGGUCGUAGAGCCAGCGGGACCAACGACAGCGGCCCUCGACUGGUGUCCAUUACGGGCACGCGACCGUCGGUGCGGAAUGGACAGCUGCUGGUAUCAACCGGGCUCCCAGCCCUAGACCAGCUCUUAGGUGGAGGUUUAGCCGUUGGAACAGUUCUUCUAAUUGAGGAGGAUAAAUAUAAUAUUUACUCACCUUUGCUCUUCAAGUAUUUCCUGGCAGAAGGAAUUGUCAAUGGGCAUACUUUGUUGGUUGCAUCUGCUAAAGAGGAUCCUGCCAACAUUUUACAGGAACUUCCAGCACCAUUACUUGAUGAUAAAUGUAAAAAGGAAUUUGAUGAAGAUGUAUACAAUCAUAAAACACCGGAAUCUAAUAUUAAGAUGAAAAUAGCUUGGCGUUACCAGUUAUUACCCAAGAUGGAGGUCUCUACUAAAAGAUUACUUUACCAGAAGUGACUGCCUUUGUCGCUGUGAAUGAAAUAAAACCACUCUGUAUCAUCUUCUUUCACUGCUUUACUUUUCUUAAAGGCACUUAUCAUUAAAUGAUGAUAAUAUAUAUCUAAUUUAUUAUUAUCAUCUAUCUCCUACUAGAAUGUGAGCUCAAUGAGAGAAAGGGACUUUGACUGUUUUGUUUUACUGACAUUUAGUAGGUGCUCAGUAAUUAUUUGUUGGAUGCAUGAAGGAAUGAAUAGUAUGUAGAUUAAAUAUUUAACUGAGCUAAGACACAUUAAUCGAUACAGACAAAAUGAUAGCUUAUUUUGAAUAUGCAGUCAAUGGUCAUGCUUAUGUUUACUUGUAUUUACAGUGAGUUGUAUCCAAUUUAGAAAAUAGAACCACCUUCUGGCUUCUUUGCUUUUCUUUGAAAUGUCACUAGCAUGUAUAUUUGCCUGUUAAGGUAAUUUUAUAUAUGAUGAUUUGCCAAGACUGAUAGGCUUUGAUGAUCACUCGUCAUUAUCUGCUUUAUAAAUCUAGGCUUUACUUUGCCUUUCUCAUUUUAAUACACACACACACACACACACACACACACGCACGCACACACACAAAACCUGGCUGUAUUAGUUCAUUCUCACUGAGACUGGGUCAUUUACAAACAAAAGAGGUUUAAUUGUCUCACAGUUUCACAUACCUGUGGAGGCCUCGGGAAACUUACAAUCAUGGCAGAAGGUGAAGGGGAAGCAAGGCACAUCUUACAUGGCAGCAGGAGAGAAAGCACAGGGGAAACCGCCACUUUUAAACCAUCAGAUCUCCUGAGAACUCCCUCACUAUCAGGAGAACAGCAUGGGGGAAACCACCCCCAUGAUCCAAUCCCUUCUCACCAGGAUCCUUCCUCGACAUGUGGGGAUUACAAUUUGAGUUGAGAUUUGGGUGGGGACACAGAACCAAACCAUAUCACUGGGUUUUCUGAGAUCAGAUGAGAUUGGGCACAUUCAGGGUGGUUUGGCCGUAGACUUCACUGUGUUUUCUUUAUUUUACUUGGGACAAAAUGCAGUUAACAUAAUUGUGGCUUGAGAUUAAAUAAAUAGUUCAAAAGUAGGUGUAUUGAUUAUCAUAGAUGCCUUUUAAAAUAAGUUGUCACCAGGUCCUAAGGGUGUAGCCAUAUUACCACUUACUAAUGCAAAAGUGGAGAAGAAUAUAUAUACCUAGAUCAAUAACACUAGUUCAGUAAAGCAUAAAGCAGUGCUUCAUUUGAAUUGAAGAGUGUAUAGUUUUAAAAAAGCCCUCUUUUCUUCACCAUGUGAUUUUAAUUCUCUCUAAGGUGGACAUGCCUUCUUCUCCCCUAUCUUAUAAUCAUCAACCACUAUUCCUGACUCACUCCAUGAAUUGCUAGCCGACAGUAUAUUCUGAGACUUAAUUUUCUCAGUAUUGUAGAGCUCUAAUACCAUGACCUACAAUGACUCCAGCAACUCAUGGCAGUGUGUUAAGUCUUUAUUAUGUUAAAUUCUCAUCAAACAUUGACUUUCUAUCUUAGUGGUUUAGCUGCAGCAGCCCUGUGGUAGAUGUGUAUAGGUGUAGAUGACCAACAAAUACCAUUUUUUCAAUAAGGCAAUGUAAUUACAAAACACA